rnacentral:rRNA from 1 species
GAUGAACGUUAGCGGCAGGCCUAAUACAUUCAAGUCGAGGGGUAGAGGAAGCUUUCUUUCUUGAGACCGGCGCACCGGUGCGUAACGCGUAUGCAACCUACCCUUAUCAGGGGCAUAGCCUGGAGAAAUCCGGAUUAACACUGCAUACAAUCACAGAACAGCAUCGUUUCCUGAUCAAAUAUUUAUCGGAUAAAGAUGGGCAUGCGUGCCAUUAGCUAGUUGGCGGGGUAACGGCCCACCAAGGCGACGAUGGCUAGGGGCUCUGAGAGGAGAAUCCCCCACACUGGUACUGAGACACGGACCAGACUCCUACGGGAGGCAGCAGUAAGGAAUAUUGGUCAAUGGGGGCAACCCUGAACCAGCCAUGCAGCGUGCAGGAAGACUGCCCUAUGGGUUGUAAACUGCUUUUGUACGGGAAUAACCACUGGUAUGUAUACCAGCCUGAAUGUACCGUAAGAAUAAGGAUCGGCUAACUCCGUGCCAGGCGCCGCGGUAACAC